rnacentral:rRNA from 1 species
AACGUAGGAGACAAACGUUAUCCGGAGUUACUGGGCGUAAAGGGCGUGUAGGUGGUUGUGUAAGUCUGGCGUGAAAUUUUUCGGCUUAACCGGGAAAGGUCGUCGGAUACUGCAGAACUAGAGGACGGUAGAGGCGUGUGGAAUUCCGGGUGUAGUGGUGAAAUGCGUAGAGAUCCGGAGGAACACCAGUGGCGAAGGCGACACGCUGGGCCGUACCUGACACUGAUGCGCGACAGCAUGGGGGAGCAAACAGG